UUUCUACUUCAUUAAACUAGGUCCUAAAUAUCAUUCAUUUACAUCUUCAAAUCAGCUGGUGAAAUAUAAUGGCUAAAGACUGUGAAGCCAGAGUACCUAAGCUCUAAUUCUGGUUUUACUAAUUCCAGGUUAUUUAUCUCUAAAAUGGGAAUAAUAAUAGAAACUACCUCAUAGAGUUGUCAUGAGUUUUAAAUGGGAAAGAUGAAGAGUGUUCAUGUCUUCUCCACUCCCGUAUUCUCUUAUUUACCGCCUGGAAAAGUCCUUGCACUGCCAUGCUUUCAUGCUGUUUUCUCAGACAUUUCUCUAUCUAUACUGGGAAUACAACUGUAAGAUGAUACUUUCCACAUGAUCUACAGAUUCAACAGUUUAAAUUAGGAAAAGUCACAGACAGCUUUGGAAGAGCCAGAAUGAAGUUACCAGUUUUUCCUACCUCAUGGGAUUAUUGGAAGGAUUGAAUGGGAGAAUAUUAUAAAGCAUCUGCACAAUUCUUGGUACAUGUAAAGCUAGUCAAUAAUAUAAGUAAAACUCUAGUCUUCAAUGUUUAGGAUUUAGUGGUUAGGAUAAAAAGUGAUCUAUAUUUUUCCAAGCAAAUGUAGAGAACAGAUAAUGAAUCAAAAAAAUUCAACAGGAGGAAAAUAGGCAGAACUGCCUGCCUUGCUCAUAAUUUUUUGUAAAAUGUCAAUUAUAAUGAAACUUCUGUGAGCAAGAUAUUUUUCUAUUUCUUGAUGGAUC